UACGAAGGGGGCUAGCGUUGUUCGGAAUUACUGGGCGUAAAGCGCGCGCAGGCGGUCCUUUAAGUCGGGGGUGAAAGCCCAGAGCUCAACUCUGGAACUGCCUUCGAAACUAGAGGACUUGGGUACGGGAGAGGUGAGUGGAAUUCCGAGUGUAGAGGUGAAAUUCGUAGAUAUUCGGAAGAACACCCGUGGCGAAGGCGGAUGACUGGAUCGCAACUGACACUGAGGAACGAAAGCUAGGGGAGCAAACAGG
rnacentral:rRNA from 1 species